AAUAAGCGGAGGAAAAGAAACCAACAGGGAUUGCCUCAGUAGCGGCGAGUGAAGCGGCAAGAGCUCAGAUUUGAAAUCGUGCUUUGCGGCACGAGUUGUAGAUUGCAGGUUGGAGUCUGUGUGGAAGGCGGUGUCCAAGUCCCUUGGAACAGGGCGCCCAGGAGGGUGAGAGCCCCGUGGGAUGCCGGCGGAAGCAGUGAGGCCCUUCUGACGAGUCGAGUUGUUUGGGAAUGCAGCUCCAAGCGGGUGGUAAAUUCCAUCUAAGGCUAAAUACUGGCGAGAGACCGAUAGCGAACAAGUACUGUGAAGGAAAGAUGAAAAGCACUUUGAAAAGAGAGUGAAACAGCACGUGAAAUUGUUGAAAGGGAAGGGUAUUGCGCCCGACAUGGGGAUUGCGCACCGCUGCCUCUCGUGGGCGGCGCUCUGGGCUUUCCCUGGGCCAGCAUCGGUUCUUGCUGCAGGAGAAGGGGUUCUGGAACGUGGCUCUUCGGAGUGUUAUAGCCAGGGCCAGAUGCUGCGUGCGGGGACCGAGGACUGCGGCCGUGUAGGUCACGGAUGCUGGCAGAACGGCGCAACACCGCCCGUCUUGAAACA
rnacentral:rRNA from 2 species